UACAGAGGGGGCAAGCGUUGUUCGGAAUUACUGGGCGUAAAGGGCGCGUAGGCGGCCUUCUAAGUCGAACGUGAAGUCCCUGGGCUCAACCCAGGAACUGCGUCCGAUACUGGAAGGCUUGAAUCCGGGAGAGGGAUGCGGAAUUCCAGGUGUAGCGGUGAAAUGCGUAGAUAUCUGGAGGAACACCGGUGGCGAAGGCGGCAUCCUGGACCGGUAUUGACGCUGAGGCGCGAAAGCCAGGGGAGCAAACGGG
rnacentral:rRNA from 1 species